rnacentral:tRNA from 1 species
UGGGGAGUGGCUCAGUGGUAAAGCAUGCAUGAAGCCCUGGGUUCAAUUCCCAGCACUGCAU